AUGCAUGCAUUACCUAUUCAAAAAGAACCUCAGUUUUAUAAAAUCCUAUGUCAAACUCUUCCCAAGGAGGAUACCAAGGAAACUUCGGCCAUUCUAAGUAAUAUAUUAAGAAUUCUUGGGACCUUUGGCCGCCGCUCCAUGCAGCGCAACGCGCUUGGCGCGGCGCAGCGCGGGGGCCGCCGGGCUAGGGGACUAGCGCCACGGGAGUCCCCGAGGGGGCCGGCCGCCGCCUCCUCGGCGCUGCCCGCCGCUCCGGGGAGGCAGCGUAUUCCCCGCGGGCGGCGGGCCCCUGCUCACGGGUGGCGCGGCCGUGCACAUCUCCGCCGCCGGCGCCGCCAAGGCCACCCUCUACUGCCGCGUCUUCCUGCUCGACGGGAUCGAAGUGAGUGUGGACCUGCCGAAACAUGCCAAAGGCCAGGAUUUGUUUGAUCAGAUCAUGUACCACUUGGACCUUGGGGAAACAGAUCACGUACUUUGGCCUCCAGUUCCUUGGCUCUGCCCAGGUCGCGCACUGGCUGGAUCAUUCCAAAGCAAUAAAAAAGCAGAUGAAGAUGAAAAUAGGACCUGCUUAUGCUUUGCACUUUCGAGUUAAAUACUAUUCUUCAGAACCAAACAACCUUCGUGAGGAGUUUACAAGGUACCUGUUUGUUUUACAACUCAGGCAUGACAUUCUUUGUGGAAAUUUGAAAUGCCCUUAUGAAACAGCUGUGGAGUUAACUGCUCUCUGUCUACAAGCGGAGCUUGGGGAGUGCGAGCUUUCAGAGCACACACCGGAGCUCGUGUCUGAGUUUCGGUUCAUUCCAAAUCAGACAGAAGCUAUGGAAUUUGAUAUCUUCCAGAGAUGGAAAGAGUGCAGGGGAAAGAGCCCUGCCCAGGCGGAACUCUCCUAUUUGAAUAAAGCGAAGUGGCUGGAAAUGUAUGGGGUAGACAUGCACGUUGUCAGGGGAAGAGAUGGCUAUGAAUAUUCUUUUGGACUGACCCCGACAGACAUAUUAAUCUUUGAAGGAGCUAACAAAAUAUGCUUAUUGUUUUGGCCUAAAAUUACCAAAAUGGAUUUUAAAAAGAGCAAAUUGACACUCGUGGUUGUCGAGGAUGAUGAUCAGGGACGUGAGCAAGAGCACACGUUUGUGUUCCGGUUAGACAGUGCCAGGACCUGCGAACAACUCUGGAAGUGUGCAGUUGAACACCACGAGUUCUUCCGACUGCGGACACCGGGAAACAGCAAAUCCAAUAGAUCCGACUUUAUCAGGUUGGGCUCUCGCUUCAGAUUCAGUGGGCGGACAAAUGUCAAGCGACACAUGGCUCCAGGUUACGAAGAACCAGCACGUUUGAGAGGAAGCCUAGUAAACGUUAUCCGUCCCGGAGGCAUUCAACGUUCAAAGCAAGCAACCCGGUGAUAGCAGCCCAGCUCUGCUCUAAAACAAAUCCAGAAGUCCAAAAUUACCAGCCUCAGUAUCAUCCUAAUAUCCACCCCAGCCAGCCCCGGUGGCAUCCUCACUCUCCAAAUGUCAGGCCAUCCUUUCAGGAUGACGGGUCGCAUUGGAAAGCGUCGGCCAGUGGAGAUGACAGCCAUUUUGAUUAUGUCCAGAACCAGAACCAGAAGAACUUAGGAGGGAUGCAGAGUGUGAUGUAUCGAGAUAAACUCAUGACUGCACUUUGA